CUGGAGAAAGACUGAAUUCUUACUCUUCAAAGAAAAAUAUCAAAAGAGGAGGAUGAUGUUCAAACUAUCACUGAUCGGCCUGCUCUUCAGGUUUGUUAACAUUCUGGGAACAAACUUCAACAUCAACAACCUCAAAUUCUAUGGCAGUAUCCAAUCCUGCGUCAAGCCUGAAUCCCGGGACCAGACCUAAUCCCAGGACAAGCACCAAUCCCAGAAUGAACCCCAAUCCUGGGACAAGCCCAGAUCUCAAAAUGACCUCAGUCCCAAGAUGACUCCAAAUUCCAAGACAAGUCUGAAUAGAGCAGUGACCCCAAAGAUAGCCACAACUAUGAAUAUGAACACUGUGACAAAUGGUAGCACCAUAUUCAAUCCAAUGGACACCACUUAUUUUCUAUGUAGUAUUUUCACUGUUUUGUGUACACUUGCACUCAGGCUGAAGUGAACUUCAACUGCCUGCAUUCUUAUCUCAGUUUCUUAUUAUCUGCUGAAUGACAAGCAUGCUAGGAAAAUAUCAUUUAUUUCAACUUACUAUUUAAGAAAUUAUCAUUAUCUUAACUUGAUUUUUUUUGCAAAUUAUAAUUGUGUAUGUUUAAAUAUUAACUUAAUAUGAUGUUUUCCUUCCAUAUGAAAAAAGUAUGCACUACCUUAUUAAAUGCUGAAACAAGCAAAA
rnacentral:sRNA from 1 species